AGAAUCAACGCUGGCGGCGUGCCUAACACAUGCAAGUCGAACGAGAAAGUGGAGCAAUCCAUGAGUAAAGUGGCGCACGGGUGAGUAACACGUGACUAACCUACCCUUGAGUGGGGGAUAACCUAGAGAAAUCUGGGCUAAUACCGCAUAAUACCUUCGGGUCAAAGGAGCAAUUCGCUUAAGGGGGGGGUCGCGGCCGAUUAGUUAGUUGGCGGGGUAAUGGCCCACCAAGACUAUGAUCGGUA
rnacentral:rRNA from 1 species